rnacentral:tRNA from 1 species
UCUAAUAUGGCAGAAUAGUGCAGUGGAUUUAAGCUCCACAAAUAAAGUUCAAUACUUUUUUUAGAA